rnacentral:rRNA from 1 species
AUUGAACGCUGGCGGCAGGCCUAACACAUGCAAGUCGAACGAGUGGCGGACGGGUGAGUCAUGUCUGGGAAACUGCCUGAUGGAGGGGGAUAACUACUGGAAACGGUAGCUAAUCCCUCAUACCAUCGGAUGUGCCCAGAUGGGAUUAGUUAGUAGGUGGGGUAACGGCUGACCUAGGCGACGAUCCCUAGCUGGUCUGAGAGGAUGACCAGCCAAACGGGAACGGAGACAAGGUCCAGACGCCUACGGUAGGCAGCAGUGGGGAAUAGGGCACAAUGGGCGCAAGCCUGAGGCAGCCAGGCCGCGUGUAUGAAGAAGGCCUUCGGGUUGUAAAGUACGUUCAGCGGGGAGGCGUUACCCGCAGAAGAAGCACCGGCUAACUCCGUGCCAGCAGCCGCGGUAAUAC